UGUAUCCAGCAUCCAAAGCCCACCAUAGUCCUACACCUGAUGCAGUAUUUCAGGAGCUUCAAUUCUUAAAAGCAUCAAUCAAAGCCAUGUCGAUCCAGGUACCAGGGGUUGAAGCUGAUGAUGUAAUAGGAACUUUGCCGCUGGAUUCAAGAAAGGUACUAGCUCUGGUCAAUUAAGGAGGAUUUCUAGUGUUGCUUAGGAGAAUUAUGUAGCGCAGUUCUAGGGAGUCUGGCAGUGGUGGAGAAUGCAAAAAGGUUUGGAGGAAGUUUGCUGGAGACUUCUACUAAGGCAAGGUAAAUUUUUGUACUGGCUCUACAAGGUGUAUUUUAUGUGUACUACAUAUUUUUGUACUGGCUCUACAAGGUAUAUUUUCUUGUACACCAG